GUGUGACUGCGUACCUUUUGUAUAAUGGGUCAGCGACUUAUAUUCUGUAGCAAGGUUAACCGAAUAGGGGAGCCGGAGGGAAACCGAGUCUUAACCGGGCGUUAAGUUGCAGGGUAUAGACCCGAAACCCGGUGAUCUAGCCAUGGGCAGGUUGAAGGUUGGGUAACACUAACUGGAGGACCGAACCGACUAAUGUUGAAAAAUUAGCGGAUGACCUGUGGCUGGGGGUGAAAGGCCAAUCAAACCGGGAGAUAGCUGGUUCUCCCCGAAAGCUAUUUAGGUAGCGCCUCGUGAAUUCAUCUCCGGGGGUAGAGCACUGUUUCGGCUAGGGGGCCAUCCCGGCUUACCAACCCGAUGCAAACUGCGAAUACCGGAGAAUGUUAUCACGGGAGACACACGGCGGGUGCUAACGUCCGUCGUGAAGAGGGAAACAACCCAGACCGCCAGCUAAGGUCCCAAAGUCAUGGUUAAGUGGGAAACGAUGUGGGAAGGCCCAGACAGCCAGGAUGUUGGCUUAGAAGCAGCCAUCAUUUAAAGAAAGCGUAAUAGCUCACUGGUCGAGUCGGCCUGCGCGGAAGAUGUAACGGGGCUAAACC
rnacentral:rRNA from 1 species